AUAUUUACCUGGCAAGGGUGAUACCAGGAUCACAAAGGUAGUUUUCCCAGGGCAAGACUUAUUCACUGCACUCCGGGUGUGUUGACCCCUGCAAUUCCUCCAAACAUGGGAAACUCGACUGCAUAAUUUGUAGUGGGGGGUGGGACGGGACUGUGUUUCUACUCUCUCCUGACCCUCCCCCA
ensembl:snRNA U1 U1 spliceosomal RNA